AACGAACGCUGGCGGCAUGCCUAAUACAUGCAAGUCGAACGAGACCUCCGGGUGUUGUGGCGCAUGGGUUUGUAACGCGUGGGAACAUGCCCUUAGGUUUGGAAUAACUCUACGACUGGGGUGCCAAUACCGGAUAAUGUCUUAGGACCAAAUAUUUAUUGACCUGGGUUGUGCAAGCGUUGGAUUAGCUCGUAGGUACGCUAAAAGCCUAAUAAGGGGACCAUUCAUAGCUGGUUUGAGAGACUGGUCAGCCACACUGAGACUGAGACACGGCCCAGAAUCCUACGGGAGGCAGGAGUGGGGAAUAUUGGACAGUGGGCGAAGUCCUGAUCCAGCAAGGCCGCGUGAGUGAUGAAGGCCGUAGAGUUGUAAAGCUCUUUUAACCGGGAUGAUAAUGACAGUACCGGGAGAAUAAGCUCCGGCUAACUCCGUG
rnacentral:rRNA from 1 species